rnacentral:misc_RNA from 1 species
AGUGGAAACGAAACAGAUGAAAAUCCUUGUAGUUUUAAACUCUUAUCAUUAGAGGACUUAUUAGAAAAGGCCUCACCAAUAAGUGACCCUGAUGAAAGAUUCUGGGAAAACUUUCACCUUAAAGAUGAGGCACCUCAGAUUAAACAGAAAAAUAGUGAAUAAUUUUUAAAAAUCAUGAAUAUAUACUACUCUUCUAAUGCAUGAAAAAGAUUUUUUCUAAUUUUCAGCUGACAUACAGUUAUAGUAAACAGUUAUUUCUUUGUUGAAUUGUUAUAAAGCUGAAAAACUUAGAAUUCAUCUAAAAUCUUGUGAAAUAUUUUUUUUAUAACUACAAGAAUGCAGCAAUUAAAUGAAAUACAU